rnacentral:rRNA from 1 species
GGUUAAGCGACUAAGCGUACACGGUGGAUGCCUAGGCAGUCAGAGGCGAUGAAGGGCGUGCUAAUCUGCGAAAAGCGUCGGUAAGCUGAUAUGAAGCGUUAUAACCGACGAUACCCGAAUGGGGAAACCCAGUGCAAUACGUUGCACUAUCGUUAGAUGAAUACAUAGUCUAACGAGGCGAACCGGGGGAACUGAAACAUCUAAGUACCCCGAGGAAAAGAAAUCAACCGAGAUUCCCCCCAGUAGCGGCGAGCGAACGGGGAGGAGCCCAGAGUCUGAAUCAGUUUGUGUGUUAGUGGAAGCGUCUGGAAAGUCGCACGGUACAGGGUGAUAGUCCCGUACACCAAAAUGCACAGGCUGUGAACUCGAUGAGUAGGGCGGGACACGUGACAUCCUGUCUGAAUAUGGGGGGACCAUCCUCCAAGGCUAAAUACUCCUGACUGACCGAUAGUGAACCAGUACCGUGAGGGAAAGGCGAAAAGAACCCCGGCGAGGGGAGUGAAAUAGAACCUGAAACCGUGUACGUACAAGCAGUGGGAGCACCUUCGUGGUGUGACUGCGUACCUUUUGUAUAAUGGGUCAGCGACUUAUAUUUUGUAGCAAGGUUAACCGAAUAGGGGAGCCGUAGGGAAACCGAGUCUUAACUGGGCGUCUAGUUGCAAGGUAUAGACCCGAAACCCGGUGAUCUAGCCAUGGGCAGGUUGAAGGUUGGGUAACACUAACUGGAGGACCGAACCGACUAAUGUUGAAAAAUUAGCGGAUGACUUGUGGCUGGGGGUGAAAGGCCAAUCAAACCGGGAGAUAGCUGGUUCUCCCCGAAAGCUAUUUAGGUAGCGCCUCGUGAACUCAUCUUCGGGGGUAGAGCACUGUUUCGGCUAGGGGGCCAUCCCGGCUUACCAAACCGAUGCAAACUCCGAAUACCGAAGAAUGUUAUCACGGGAGACACACGGCGGGUGCUAACGUCCGUCGUGAAGAGGGAAACAACCCAGACCGCCAGCUAAGGUCCCAAAGUCAUGGUUAAGUGGGAAACGAUGUGGGAAGGCACAGACAGCCAGGAUGUUGGCUUAGAAGCAGCCAUCAUUUAAAGAAAGCGUAAUAGCUCACUGGUCGAGUCGGCCUGCGCGGAAGAUGUAACGGGGCUAAACCAUGCACCGAAGCUGCGGCAGCGACACUUAGGUGUUGUUGGGUAGGGGAGCGUUCUGUAAGCCGUUGAAGGUGACCUGUGAGGGUUGCUGGAGGUAUCAGAAGUGCGAAUGCUGACAUAAGUAACGAUAAUGCGGGUGAAAAACCCGCACGCCGGAAGACCAAGGGUUCCUGUCCAACGUUAAUCGGGGCAGGGUGAGUCGACCCCUAAGGCGAGGCUGAAAAGCGUAGUCGAUGGGAAACAGGUUAAUAUUCCUGUACUUGGUGUUACUGCGAAGGGGGGGACGGAGAAGGCUAGGCUGGCCGGGCGACGGUUGUCCCGGUUUAAGCGUGUAGGGGGAGUGACCAGGUAAAUCCGGUUGCUUAUCAACCCUGAGGCGUGAUGACGAUGCACCACGGUGCAGAAGCAGUUGAUGCCAUGCUUCCAGGAAAAGCCUCUAAGCAUCAGGUAACAUUAAAUCGUACCCCAAACCGACACAGGUGGUCAGGUAGAGAAUACUCAGGCGCUUGAGAGAACUCGGGUGAAGGAACUAGGCAAAAUGGUGCCGUAACUUCGGGAGAAGGCACGCUGGCGUUAGGUGAAAGGACUAGCUCCUGGAGCUGAAGCCAGUCGCAGAUACCAGCUGGCUGCAACUGUUUAAUAAAAACACAGCACUGUGCAAACACGAAAGUGGACGUAUACAGUGUGACGCCUGCCCGGUGCUGGAAGGUUAAUUGAUGGGGUCAGCCGCAAGGCGAAGCUCUUGAUCGAAGCCCCAGUAAACGGCGGCCGUAACUAUAACGGUCCUAAGGUAGCGAAAUUCCUUGUCGGGUAAGUUCCGACCUGCACGAAUGGCGUAAUGAUGGCCAGGCUGUCUCCACCCGAGACUCAGUGAAAUUGAACUCGCUGUGAAGAUGCAGUGUACCCGCGGCAAGACGGAAAGACCCCGUGAACCUUUACUAUAGCUUGACACUGAACAUUGAGCCUUGAUGUGUAGGAUAGGUGGGAGGCCUUGAAGUGUGGACGCCAGUCUGCAUGGAGCCAACCUUGAAAUACCACCCUUUAAUGUUUGAUGUUCUAACUCGGCCCCAUGAUCUGGGGUGAGGACAGUGUCUGGUGGGUAGUUUGACUGGGGCGGUCUCCUCCCAAAGAGUAACGGAGGAGCACGAAGGUUAGCUAAUCACGGUCGGACAUCGUGAGGUUAGUGCAAAGGCAUAAGCUAGCUUGACUGCGAGAGUGACGGCUCGAGCAGGUACGAAAGUAGGUCUUAGUGAUCCGGUGGUUCUGAAUGGAAGGGCCAUCGCUCAACGGAUAAAAGGUACUCCGGGGAUAACAGGCUGAUACCGCCCAAGAGUUCAUAUCGACGGCGGUGUUUGGCACCUCGAUGUCGGCUCAUCACAUCCUGGGGCUGAAGUAGGUCCCAAGGGUAUGGCUGUUCGCCAUUUAAAGUGGUACGCGAGCUGGGUUUAGAACGUCGUGAGACAGUUCGGUCCCUAUCUGCCGUGGGCGUUGGAAGAUUGAGAGGGGCUGCUCCUAGUACGAGAGGACCGGAGUGGACGAAUCACUGGUGUUCGGGUUGUCAUGCCAAUGGCAUUGCCCGGUAGCUAAAUUCGGAAGAGAUAACCGCUGAAAGCAUCUAAGCGGGAAACUUGCCUCGAGAUGAGUCUUCCCUGGGGCUUAAAGCCCCCUGAAGGAACGUUAAAGACUAUGACGUUGAUAGGCUGGGUGUGUAAGUGCAGCGAUGUAUUGAGCUAACCAGUACUAAUGAUCCGUGAGGCUUAACCUU